ACCAAAUUCACAGGACAAAGGCAAAGCUGCCCAUCCUGCCAGGAAGCAAAGCCUACAACUCUUCUUGCUGACACCUAUAAUUAGGCUGGGCUCUUGUCUCAGGAUGAUGAGUGCUGAUGGGAAAGAGGAGAAAGAUCCUGCCAGGGGUAUCGUGUGGAGCUGAGCCAGAGCAGACCCAGGCCAUGAGCAGCAAUUGCCAACAGAUGUUUGCCUGGUCUUAAAUUACGUUGUCUGCAUGCCUGGAAAAAGAUAGUGUCUUAUAAAUAACUGUGCUUUGAUGCUCUGUGGCCUUGCAUAUUCAGGUCCCACCGUUAGGCACGUAUGUGUUAGUCAGAACUAGCUGGAAAUGGACUGGGGGUGGAAUUUCUUUUGUCAUGUCCAGAAGUGGGGUGCUGUCAGCUCUUCCUGGGAAGUUAUGGGGGAUCGUGGAAGAAUGACUCAUCCAUUCUGUUCUGCAUGAGGAAGCCUGGGAAAGCACCAUGCUUCUGGAGGAAAAGGCGUGCAAUUCAGCAGCUUAAUACUCCCAGCACGACGUCCUCCCCAUGUGCCACUGAAGAAUGGGCACUGAGGAUUUAUAGUAACAUGCUGCAGUGCCCUGAGAUGAAGCAUGUAACUGGCACCUGCCUUAGGAUGAGUGAGGGUUUCUCUCCUCUGCCUUGGAAUAACAGCCUUGGGAUUACAGCUUGGGUUGCCCUGCUCUGUACUCAGGAUGCAUCAGGAGAAGAUACUUCAGUGCCUUCCUUUGCAGGCAAUGCCAGGGGAAGGCAUCUUGGUGCCCAGCAGUGCAAGGAGCUCUGUGGUAGCAGGACUCUGGGAUCCCUGGGCAGAGUGGAACUGAAUGCACACCUCCUAUUUCCCCAAGGAGCUUUUAGGAUCUCCAAGUGAUCUCCCACCUGCACCCAAGAGGUUGGGCACCAUCUGCGUACUUUGAAUCUGUUCCCCACAGUCCUGAUGUGAAAGCUGCCCCAUCAGUGGGCCCUGUGUAACGAGCUCUGCACAACGAGGCAUGGGCCUUGGCUCAGAAACCUGGAUUAAGGCAUCUCAGUAAUAAAAAAAAAAAGCCAAACACGUUUACUUUUCAUUGUUAGGAAGGAGAGCAUCGUUCAGAUUAGCAUUCAGGCCUGGUGUAAGUGAAGGGAGAAUAAUUGCAGAUAGUUAAUCUAUUCAAACUUAAUUCCUCUUCCUAAUUACUCACAAAUAAUAUAAUCUAUAUAAAUCUCACUUGAAGAGGCAAAGGGGAUAUUACUUUUAAUGGUCUGACACAGAGGAGGACUGGGCUGGUAACAAACUCUUCAGCCCUCGCCUUGCCCCAGGCACCAGCUGCAAGCUCUCCCAGCUGCAUAGCAUCAGCAAAACCUUGUGGAUUAGAUGAGGAACUCCCAUGCACCCACUUCAGACUUAAGCCAGCUAGUUCUGUAGUAAUUAAAACCAAUUUGGUUAAAUGCUUUCCUCCUGAGUGCCUGUUUUUGUUAUGCUUGGAAACCAGGGGCCAAAUGAAGGACUCAAGCACUGCUCUGGUGCGUGGCUGGUGAGGGCUUUGCAGCCGUUGCUGCAAACGAUUUGUGUUCUAAAAGAAAGGAAAGAAGGAAAGGGAAACAACCUGGCUUGCCUGUGGCUGCAGAACUGGCAAUCAAUGGGA
ensembl:lncRNA